rnacentral:lncRNA from 10 species
GCGCGGCCGCUCCGCCCUCACCUGAGCCUGAGGUUGGCCAUGAACUCGGGCAUGGAGACGGUGUCCAUCAGCACGAAGUCUGCCUUGCCGAAUUCCAGGCUCUCCUGCUCCGCCAUGGCGCCAGCGCGGGGGCUCAGGUGGGCGCGCUCGGGCCUCCGGGGCCGCUCCGUGGGCCCGCGAUGAGCUCGGGAGGGGCCGGGGCGAGGCCGCGCCGCGAGGCUACGGGGAGGGGGCGCGCACGCCGCUCGGCGGGUCCGGGCCGGACAGAGGCCGCCUCGCUGCUCCUCGGCGCCUUCUCGGCCGGCGCGGCUCCGAACGGGACGCACCCGACAGUUUCCGCUCCUCCCGCCGCGGCUGCCGGGCGCUGUAGGGGCCGGGACACCGAGACGGAGACGGCAGCGGCUGGUCCCGCCUCCAGCCUGGGGCUCGUCCCGGCUCCGCCCCGCCCGGGCCUCCCGGCUCCGCCCCUCCCGGCCCACUGAGGAGCCCGCCCCAGCCGCGGCCCUGGCCGCCGCCUCUUCACCUGGGCGGCGCGCACGCGCGGGUGGGCGGCGGGGACGCGCGCUGGGCCGGGCGGCGGCAGCUGGGUGGCAGCGCCCCCUGGGGACAGGCGCUGGGAUCUCAGGCGGCCAAGAGGAUGGCCGCCUGCCGCCCACACUUGGUAGCUGCCAACAAAGUUAGAAAAGUAGUUCGUGGAGCUUUUCGCGAGGACAAUUCAUUAUGAUUCUGUCACCCUGCUCCAAAACCCACUCCCGCCUCUCUACUCACACCCUGCCCAUUCUUGAAGUGGUGGUUCAAGCACAGACUGAGAGGAUUAUUGCGGAUGUCUUGAGCAUGGGACCAUUCUUUUUGCAUCCACCAAAUAACUAUUGUACUACUUUGCAUAUAUAAAUAUGAAAUCCAUACUGGUUCAGUGGAAUGAAGUGAGUUGUAAGUAGUCUCCAAUUUAUUGAUACAUUGGUUGAGCUUGGAAAAUUCUUUUUGAACUCAAUGUAUUUUCCCAAAGAAAAUAUACUACAAAUGACUUUCUUUCUUUUUUUUUUUUUUUUCUUUUUCUGGAGACAAAUUCUCCCUCUGUCACCCAGGCUGGAGUGCAGUGGUGCAAUCACAGCUCACUGCAACCUCAAACUCCUGGGCUCAAGCAAUCCUCCAGCCUCAGCCUCCUGAGCAGCUGGGACUACAGGUGUAUGACACCAUGCCCAGCUAUUUUUUUUAAAUAAAUGACUUUCUAAGGUAUCUACAUUUAUUCAGUCCUGUGUUUCUGUUAGGACAUCUUCUAUUACAAAAUCUACGAGGAAAUCUAGAGGCCUCCAAGGACCUGGCUGGGCUUCAACUCUGGCUGAGUUUGAGAUGAGUAAACCAGACUGAAGGACCUUGCCCAAGGCCUGCUUCAGCUGCCAGCCACCCACACUUGCUAAGAGAAAGGAAAGGAGCUUUGUCACCUCCUGAGGGACUGCCUCUGCCAUCAGAAAACCACCCCAAUCCCUGGCACCAGCAGAGCUGGGUUGCAUCUGACUACCGUUAGCAGCUGUCCUUCAGAAGGAGGAGAUCCACCUGUCUCGAUAUCAGUGUCCUCAUUUGUGGAAUAAAAGCUCUGGAAUAAGGUAGGACUGUCCUAUGGUUGGGUCAUUUGUGGAGGUGUCGGUCAGUGGCUAAGUAGGUUAUUGCAUAGGGUAUGGUUGUAUUCCUAAUGUUUGUAUUGGCAUGUUUUAACAUAAGCAGAACUGAACUUCAAGAAGGAAAGAAAGAAAUCUCAAACUGUAUGCACUUUGGAGCAUCCAGGGACCACACCCCAAAACCUUUUGGUAAAUUAUAUAUGUGUGUUCCCUGAGCUCUGUAGGUGUUAAAAAUUAGGGCAAAAUCCCAGGUACCAGGAAAAGAAACAUCACGGCUUGCAGAUGAUGAGAGAGUUGCAGAAAUUGUACAGUGGUUAGGAGCUAUGGUGGGAUACAAUGUGGUUUCCAAAUGGCCAAAGUAAGAGAUCCUCAUUUUAAUCAACAUCUUAUAUAGGAACCCAACAUAUAAAACACAUAUACAACAUAUGCAAAGGGUAUUUUAUUAAUUUCUUGUAUAAGUCCAAAUUAGUAUAAAAUUAGGCAUUGAUGCUCUCAUGAUGAACCCAAAUCUGCUCAAUGGGGCUCACUAUUAGCCUCAGGAUUCCAGUUUACUUUUGUAUGUUGUUUUCAUUGUACUGUGUCAAGCAAAUUCUUGUUUGUAUAACUAAGCAGUAAUUUGUUACCCAUACAACUUUACAUUCAGCAUUUCUAGGCCAAUGUGCAGUUACAACAUUAUUAAUCAAUGACACACUUGAGCAAAGUUCAGGUAUAUGCACAGCCGGCAGGAGAGACUGAAUACUCUGGUCUGCAUUCAGUCAAGGUAACCUAGAGCAGAUUAGCUCAUUAUGAAUGUUCUUUGUGAUAAAAUUUGAAUAGAAACACAUUUGGAGAUGCAUGUUUUUGUUACAGUUUAAAAUAUACAAAAAAUAAAACAAAUAAAAGUUUAUAUCCCCAAUCAUGAGACACACAGACACCAUGAGCCUCCUGAUAUGGUCUCCUGAAAAAGACACAUAUCAUUUACCUGCUAAAAAUACGUAAAUGGAAUCUAAUCAUGAAGAAGCAUCAAACAAACUCACAUUAAGGGGCAUCCUACAAAACAAUUGACCUGUAUUCUUCAAAAAUAUCAAUGAUGUGAAAGACAAAGAGGCUGAGGCACAUCACUAUUAAAGGCAAUGGGUGAUUCUGGACUGGAUCUCCAACCAGAAAAAUGUAAAGGACAUUGUUGGGAUAAUUGGUGAAAUUCAAAUAUAGACGCGAUGUUAGAUAGUAGGAUAGUAUCAAUGCUAGUUUUUCUGAACUUGAUCAUUUUACUGGGAUUCUGCAAGAUAAUGUCCUUGUUUCUAGCAGGUAUCUGCUAAAGUAUUUAGGAGUAAAAUGAUGUCUCGAACUGUUUGGCAAGAAUAAUAAAAAUAAUAAGAUGAGGAGGUGGAAGGAGGGCGUGCAUAUAUAUUGGUAGACAUAUAAAUGAUUAAAGCAAAUGAUGCAAAAUACUAACAAGUGGUAAAGUCAUUAAAAAUAUAUGGGACUUUUGAGGGGAUUUUCUUUUGUACUAUCCUCACAACUUUUCUGUAACUUUGCAAUUAGUUUGAAAUUUAUUCAUUUAUUUUGAGACGGAGUCUUGCUCUGCCGCCCAGGCUGAAGUGCAGUGACACGAUCUCGGCUCACUGCAACCUCCGCCUCCCGGGUUCAAGCGAGUCUCCUGCCUCAGCCUCCUGAGUAGCUGGGACUACAGGUGCAUGCCACCAUGCCCAGCUAAUUUUUGUAUUUUUAGUAGAAACGGGGUUUCACCAUGUUGGUCAGGCUGGUCUCAAGCUCCUGACCUCAUGAUCUGCCCACCUCAGCCUCCCAAAGUGCUGGGAUUAGAGGUGUGAGCCACCACACUCGGCCUG